rfam:Magnetospira sp. QH-2 chromosome, complete genome
UCUCAAGCGUGAGAAGGGCAUUUGGUGGAUGCCUUGGCACAGAGAGGCGAUGAAGGACGUGGCACCCUGCGAUAAGCGUCGGGGAGAUGGGAGCAAUCUUUGAUCCGGCGAUUUCCGAAUGGGGAAACCCCUCCCUUUAGGGAGAUCCCUACCUGAAUACAUAGGGUAGGGAGGCGAACCCGGCGAACUGAAACAUCUCAGUAGCCGGAGGAAAGGACAUCAACCGAGACUCCGUUAGUAGCGGCGAGCGAACGCGGACCAGGCCAGUGGCUAAGUCUUAAGAACCGGAACCGUCUGGAAAGUCGGGCCAUAGCGGGUGACAGCCCCGUACGGGUAGAAAGAGAUUUAGUCCUCGAGUAGGGCGGAACACGUGAAAUUCUGUCUGAACAUGGGGGGACCACCCUCCAAGCCUAAGUACUCCUCUGUGACCGAUAGUGAACAAGUACCGUGAGGGAAAGGUGAAAAGCACCCCGACGAGGGGAGUGAAAGAGACCUGAAACCGAAUGCCUACAAGCAGUAGGAGCACCUUCGGGUGUGACUGCGUACCUUUUGUAUAAUGGGUCAGCGAGUUACUCUUACGAGCAAGCUUAAGCCGUUAGGUGUAGGCGGAGCGAAAGCGAGUCUGAAUAGGGCGACUAAGUUCGUGGGAGUAGACCCGAAACCGAGUGAUCUAGCCAUGAGCAGGCUGAAGGUGCGGUAACACGCACUGAAGGGCCGAACCCACCGUCGUUGAAAAGCCGGGGGAUGACUUGUGGCUAGGGGUGAAAGGCCAAUCAAACUCGGAAAUAGCUGGUUCUCCGCGAAAUCUAUUUAGGUAGAGCGUCGCGUAUUACCCACGGGGGUAGAGCACUGGAAGGGCUAGGGGGGCCCAAAGCCUUACCAAACCUUACCAAACUCCGAAUACCGUGGAGUAGAGCGCGGCAGACAGACGGCGGGUGCUAAGGUCCGUCGUCGAAAGGGAAACAGCCCAGACCGCCAGCUAAGGUCCCUAAGUCAUGGCUAAGUGGGAAAGGAUGUGGGAAGGCCAAGACAGCCAGGAGGUUGGCUUAGAAGCAGCCAUCCUUUAAAGAAAGCGUAACAGCUCACUGGUCUAAAUAAGCCGUCCUGCGCCGAAGAUGUAACGGGGCUAAAGCCAUGCACCGAAGCUGCGGAUUCAGAUCUUUGAUCUGUCUGGUAGCGGAGCGUUCCGUAGGCCGAUGAAGGGAUACCGCGAGGUAUCUUGGAGGUAUCGGAAGUGAGAAUGCUGACAUGAGUAGCGACAAACAGAGUGAGAAACUCUGUCGCCGGAAGUCCAAGGGUUCCUGCGCAAGGCUAAUCCGCGCAGGGUGAGCCGGCCCCUAAGCCGAGGGCGAGAGCCGUAGGCGAUGGGAACCAGGUUAAUAUUCCUGGGCCUGGUGGAGGUGACGAAUGCCGUGUGUUGUAUCCCCUUAUUGGAUUGGGGAUGCUUCGAAGGCGUUCCAGGAAAUAACCCCACCAUAAGACCGUACCCGAAACCAACACAGGUGGACAGGUAGAGUAUACCAAGGCGCUUGAGAGAACGAUGUUGAAGGAACUCGGCAAAAUUCCUCCGUAACUUCGGGAUAAGGAGGCCUCAUUCAUGGGCAACCAUAGAUGAGGGGCACAAAAUUGGGGGUGGCGACUGUUUACUAAAAACAUAGGGCUCUGCGAAGUCGAAAGACGACGUAUAGGGUCUGACGCCUGCCCGGUGCCGGAAGGUUAAAAGGAGGGGUGCAAGCUCUGAAUUGAAGCCCCGGUAAACGGCGGCCGUAACUAUAACGGUCCUAAGGUAGCGAAAUUCCUUGUCGGGUAAGUUCCGACCUGCACGAAUGGCGUAACGACUUCCCCGCUGUCUCCAACAUCGACUCAGCGAAAUUGAAUUCUCCGUGAAGAUGCGGAGUACCCGCGGUCAGACGGAAAGACCCCGUGCACCUUUACUACAGCUUCGCAGUGGUAUUAGGGGAUGAAUGUGUAGGAUAGGUGGGAGGCUUUGAAGCGCAGGCGCCAGUCUGUGUGGAGCCAACCUUGAAAUACCACCCUUUUAUUCUCUGGUAUCUAACCGCGGCCCGUGAAACCGGGUCCGGGACCCUGCGUGGUGGGUAGUUUGACUGGGGCGGUCGCCUCCCAAAGAGUAACGGAGGCGCGCGAAGGUGGGCUCAGGCCGGUCGGAAAUCGGUCGUUGAGUGCAAAGGCAUAAGCCCGCCUGACUGCGAGAUCGACAGAUCGAGCAGAGACGAAAGUCGGCCUUAGUGAUCCGGUGGCCCCGCGUGGAAGGGCCAUCGCUCAACGGAUAAAAGGUACGCCGGGGAUAACAGGCUGAUGAUUCCCAAGAGUCCAUAUCGACGGAAUCGUUUGGCACCUCGAUGUCGGCUCAUCACAUCCUGGGGCUGGAGCAGGUCCCAAGGGUUCGGCUGUUCGCCGAUUAAAGUGGUACGUGAGCUGGGUUUAGAACGUCGUGAGACAGUUCGGUCCCUAUCUGCCGUGGGUGUAGGAAGUUUGAGAGGAGCUGCCCCUAGUACGAGAGGACCGGGGUGGACGAACCUCUGGUGUACCUGUUGUCACGCCCGUGGCAUCGCAGGGUAGCUAAGUUCGGACAGGAUAACCGCUGAAAGCAUCUAAGCGGGAAGCCCCCCUCAAAACAAGACUUCCCUUGAGAGCCGUGGAAGACCACCACGUUGAUAGGCCGGGUGUGGAAGCGCAGUAAUGCGUGCAGCUAACCGGUACUAAUUGCUCGAUAGGCUUGAGAUC